AAAUGAUAAGAAUGAUUUGUUGCGUUGCAGCUUCGGUAUAUAAAGCUUCACAUUUUCGAGCAAUAAUGAAACAGAUAAUUAAAGUGCUUGAAGGAACUAUGCCUCAUGUGAAGAUUAUGAAUUGGAAAGACAUCGAAACUCUACAGGGAAGGGCUACUACUAAUCUAGAAUCUGUACUUGGUGUUGAGAGGAUAUAAAUUACUCCAUAGAAAAUCUUUGCUUAUAGAGAACUAGCAAUAGCAACUGGUGGUUUCUCCAACGUCAACCUCCUUGGCGAGGGUGGUUUUGGUCAAGUUUAUAAGGGAACACUUUCAAAUGGUGAAGUUGUUGCA